rnacentral:rRNA from 1 species
GACGAACGCUGGCGGCGUGCUUAACACAUGCAAGUCGAACGAAGUGGCGAACGGGUGAGUAAUACGUGAGUAACCUGCCCUCCUUUUUGGGAUAAGCCUUGGAAACGGGGUCUAAUACCGAAUAAAGGGGGAUGGGCUCGCGGCCUAUCAGCGUGUUGGUGGGGUGAUGGCCUACCAAGGCGGUGACGGGUAGCCGGCCGGAGAGGGUGAACGGCCAGAUGGGGAGAAGGGUAAGGGCGAUGCUGCGACGGGAGGUAGGAGGGGGGGAGUUUGCACAAUGGGCGGAAGCCUGGUGCAGCGGCGGCGUGUGGGGGAUGAAGUCUUUCGGGUUGUAAACCUCUUUCGGUAUCGAACGGGUAGGUGUAGAAGAAGCGCCGGCUAACUACGUGCCAGCAGCCGCGGUAAUAC